AUUGAACGCUGGCGGCAGGCCUAACACAUGCAAGUCGAGCGGAUGAAGGGAGCUUGCUCCUGGAUUCAGCGGCGGACGGGUGAGUAAUGCCUAGGAAUCUGCCUGGUAGUGGGGGAUAACGUCCGGAAACGGGCGCUAAUACCGCAUACGUCCUGAGGGAGAAAGUGGGGGAUCUUCGGACCUCACGCUAUCAGAUGAGCCUAGGUCGGAUUAGCUAGUUGGUGGGGUAAAGGCCUACCAAGGCGACGAUCCGUAACUGGUCUGAGAGGAUGAUCAGUCACACUGGAACUGAGACACGGUCCAGACUCCUACGGGAGGCAGCAGUGGGGAAUAUUGGACAAUGGGCGAAAGCCUGAUCCAGCCAUGCCGCGUGUGUGAAGAAGGUCUUCGGAUUGUAAAGCACUUUAAGUUGGGAGGAAGGGCAGUAAGUCAAUGCCUUGCUGUUUUGACGUUACCAACAGAAUAAGCACCGGCUAACUUCGUG
rnacentral:rRNA from 1 species